GCCUUUAUAGUUUAAUGGAAAAACAUGUCAAUGGUAAUGACAAAACACAAGUUCGAUUCUUGUUAAAGGCACCA
rnacentral:tRNA from 1 species